CUAGCCCAGUGUCUGGUAUCUGGUGGAUGUUUGGAGACUGUCUGUUCCUUCCCCACUUAGUGGUGGAGGGCUUCUCUCCACCUCCUUCCAGAAUCACUAGAAUGUGCUUCCAUACCUCUUGAUGGUUCAAGCCUUCUAGAUUGCUGUAGAUGCCCUUAUGCGGGGUGAGGUGGAGGGGCCAGCCCUGUCGUAGGCAACCCUGGCUGGGGUGAGGGGUGUAGCUCUAGGCCAGGUCCCAGCUCUAAGUGCUGACCUGUGUGUGUAUCAGAGUGAGCUCAGCGAUGGCAUCGCGAUGCUGGUGGCAGGCAAUGACCGUGUGCAAGCAGUGAUCACGCAGAUGGAGGAGGUGUGCCAGACCAUCGAGGACAAUAGCCGGAGGCAGAAGCAGUUGUUAAACCAGAGGUUUGAGAGCCUGUGCGCAGUGCUGGAGGAGCGCAAGGGUGAGCUGCUGCAGGCGCUGGCCCGGGAGCAAGAGGAGAAGCUGCAGCGCGUCCGCGGCCUCAUCCGUCAGUAUGGCGACCACCUGGAGGCCUCCUCUAAGCUGGUGGAGACUGCCAUCC
rnacentral:sRNA from 1 species